AGGACUAGCGCUGGCGGCGUGCCUAACACAUGCAAGUCGAGCGGACACCACUUUGUAGCAAUACAGAUGAAGUGUUAGCGGCAGACGGGUGAGUAACACGUAGUCAACCUACCUUACCGUCCGGGAUAACUAGCCGAAAGGUUAGCUAAUACCGCAUACGAUCUUCAAUCGGCAUCUUUUGAAGAUGAAAGGAGCAAUUCGCGCAACGACGGGACUGCGUCCCAUUAGCUAGAUGGUGGGGUAACGGCCUACCAUGGCGACGAUGGGUAGCUGGUUUGAGAGAGCGACCAGCCACACUGGGACUGAGACACGGCCCAGACUCCUACGGGAGGCAGCAGUGAGGAAUUUUCCGCAAUGGGCGAAAGCCUGACGGAGCGACGCCGCGUGUGGGAAGAAGGCCUUCGGGUCGUAAACCACUGUCGAAGGGGAGAUAUUGACGGUACCCUUGGAGGAAGCCCCGGCUAACUACGUGCCAGCAGCCGC
rnacentral:rRNA from 1 species